rnacentral:lncRNA from 1 species
AUCGCAAUAGCGAUCGCAACAACCUCAUCAUGAAGCGAUUUCGUCGUGAAGCGGGGUAAUCAUCAAGCGGGGCACCACUGUACCGCUAAACUUUUCCAGUUUUCUAACAUCUUUUUAAGGAGAAAAUAAUCUUCUUUCUCUUUCUCUUUUUCUUCAUAUCAUCAUGCCAAAGGCCAGGCUGGGAAGAAUUCCCCGCCCUUUUUGACGACAUGAAACAGACAAUCAAGCAGCAUAUGAAACAAACCAAAGAUUUCCUCCAGGCCAUCUAUCUAUAGGCCACUCCACUCCCCAUGUCCACGGGCCCUUUGACCAGUGUACACUUAUACCUAAGACAUGGACCUGAUUGAUACCUGUUUUUUCUGAAUUGCAGAUACAUGGAGCGAGUGUGCACUGUUCAAAGGGCGAGCCUAAGCAAUGACCAGCUGCUUGUGCACAAGCUUUCUUAAUACAAACAGGCCUGUCUCUUCUAAACUAUUAAAAUUUGUGGUUUUUGUUAUGGCCCAGUCCUUGUGGAACGGACUUCCACCGGAGAAGCACAUAAUACUACCAGUAUCUUCAGAAAGCCUGAUAUGAUCUGAGUGAACCUUUUCAUCUGACCCAAACACUAAAUCCAUAAUGUUUACAAAAGUACAGCUGAUCAGUGAGAAACACAAAGUGAACCCUGGCUGAAUCAGAAGUGGGGAAGAGUGAAAGAAAAGAGGAACCUGCAAUGCUGAAUUUGGAAGCAGACCUUUGAAGAAAAGAAGGAGUGCACAGAUUAAGUCUUCAUAUAAAAUGCCAUGGGCUUCCGAUUCUCCACCUGUGGGAAGCCAUCAUAAAAUAGCAGGCUGGCUUUCUCGUAGAAGGGCCUGCACUUUGUGUUUAACCCUGUAUGUCGAUUUGUGAAUAAAGCCACAACCUAUGACA